rnacentral:rRNA from 1 species
UGGGGGAUAUUGCACAAUGGGGGGAACCCUGAUGCAGCGACGCCGCGUGGGCGAGGGAGCGCCUCGGCGCGUAAAGCCCUUUCGGCGGGGGAGAACGAUGACGGUACCCGACGAAGAAGCACCGGCUAAAUACGUGCCAGCAGCCCGCGGUAAUCACUCGCU